AGCGAACGCUGGCGGCAGGCCUAACACAUGCAAGUCGAACGGAUCCUUCGGGAUUAGUGGCGGACGGGUGAGUAACACGUGGGAACGUGCCCUUUGGUCCGGAACAACUCAGGGAAACUUGAGCUAAUACCGGAUGUGCCCUUCGGGGGAAAGGUUUAUCGCCGAAAGAGCGGCCCGCGUUAGAUUAGCUAGUUGGUGAGGUAAAGGCUCACCAAGGCUACGAUCUAUAGCUGGUCUGAGAGGAUGAUCAGCCACACUGGGACUGAGACACGGCCCAGACUCCUACGGGAGGCAGCAGUGGGGAAUCUUGCGCAAUAGGCGAAAGCCUGACGCAGCCAUGCCGCGUGAAUGAUGAAGGUCUUAGGAUUGUAAAAUUCUUUUACCAGGGACGAUAAUGACGGUACCUGGAGAAAAAGCCCCGGCUAACUUCGUGCCAGCCGCCGCGGUAAUAC
rnacentral:rRNA from 1 species